AUGAGUUGGGGUAGUGAACUUUGGGAUCAGUACGACAAUCUGUCCCUACACACGCAGAAAGGGAUAGAUUUUCUUGAGAGAUAUGGACACUUUAUAAGGGAUCGAUGUAAAAUUGAAGUUGAAUAUGCCGGCAAUCUUAGAAGGCUAGUGAAAAAUUAUCUACCGAAAAAAAAAGAGGAAGAAGAUUAUCAGUAUAGUCCAUGUCGUGCAUUUAAAAUGGAACUAAAUGAAGUUAAUGAUCAAGCCGGUCAAAGAGAGGUGAUUGCUGAAAAUCUCCAAGCAAAUGUACUUCGUGAACUGAAUUUACUUGUCAAGGACUUUAAAGAAGAUAGAAAGAAGCAUCUACAAGAAGGUGCUAGGCUAAUGGCUACGCUAGCUACGCAAAUUGGUAGUUUAGAACGUGCUAGAAAAGCAUAUGAAAAAGCAUAUCGCGAAGCAGAGAGAGCUCUUGAAAAUUACCAACGUGCUGACGCUGAUCUCAAUUUAUCAAGAGCAGAGGUCGAAAAACAACGUAUGAAUAUGACGUUAAAAACACAACAGAGUGAAGAAGCUAAAACAGAAUAUGCUAAUCAAUUGCAAAAGACUAACGAGAUGCAAACUUUACAUUAUCACACAGCAAUGCCACAAGUUUUUCAACAUUUACAAGAAUUAGAUGAAAAGAGAAUAAAAAAUAUGAGAAAUUAUAUGUUAAAAUCAGUAGAAAUAGAACGAUCGGUAGCACCAAUUAUUUCUCAGUGUUUAGAUGGUAUCGAAAAAGCGGCCAAUGAAAUUAAUGAAAAAGAAGAUACUCUUUUAGUAAUCGAACGAUAUAAAAGUGGGUUUACUCCACCUGGUGAUUUUCCUUUUGAAGAUUUAUCAGCUGCAAAAUCGUAUGAUAGUAAUACUCAAUUGUCAACUACAACGAUGCAGCCAAUUCACAAUCACCUCACAGUAAAAGGUACCGUUUCAGGAGGAAAGAUAAAGAAGAGAGUUGGCAUCUUCGGAAUUUUCAGCAGCAAUAAGAAGUUGAUCGAGGUGUGCAUAGCUUUAAAGAACAAUGUACCUGGAUAUGGUGAUGGCGCAAAGGAGGAUUGCAGUGAUUUACCUCCAAACCAGAGGAAGAAAAGACUACAGCAGAGAUUAGAUGAGAUUCAAGCUAAAAUUCAACAAGAAACAGCUGCGCGAGACGCACUGAUGAAAAUGAAAGGUGUUUACGAACAGAAUCCAGCUCUAGGAGAUCCUAUGAGCAUAGAAGGUCAAUUGAAUCAAUCCAGUCAUAAACUAGAUAAGUUAGGUGCUGAAUUGACCAAAUUCCAGGGAUAUUUAGAUGAUGCUAUAAAAGCUGGUGUUGGUCUUUCGAGUCCAAGUCAAGCUCCACGAAAGCCUACAAGCAACGGUUCAACAACGAGGUCUGUUAAUUCACGGAGAUCCAGCCAUUCAGGCGGUGAGGAGAGUUUAUCUCGAUCUGCUUCAGAUUCAAGCGUCACUAAUGCUAACACAAGUCAACCAGCACAUAAGAAAAGUACACCAGGCACGCCUCAACCAACGCAUGAUUCCACGAAUAGCCCGGAAUCUGGUCUUGGUGCUUCACGAACGUCAUUACCUGGCAGCGGAGGUGAAGAAUAUUAUGUUGAUGAAUUGGAUGCUCAACCACCCCUUGGUACUUGUCGAGCUCUCUAUCCCUUUGAUGCCACAAGUGAAGGAUCAAUACCUAUGUAUGAUGGUGAGGAGCUUUACAUGAUUGAAUUGGAUCAAGGUGAUGGAUGGACAAGAGUACGUAGAAUGUCGCAACCUAUAGAGGGAUUUGUUCCAACAUCGUAUAUAGAAUAUCAACUUUACAACACAUAACAAUUUUCUACUAAUAAUACUGACGAAUCUGACUCAAAAUGAGCUUCGACUCGCGAAAAAUGAGUCUUUCAGCAAUAGCGGCAGGACUUCCAGUAACAAUAGUUUCAACAAGGACACAAUUUUGUCCUAUUUCUGGAACAACUUCUUGCUUAAAAACUACCCCUAGUUGAUGAGAGCUGGGCUUACUGAUGAUCAGAUCCAAAAC
rnacentral:misc_RNA from 1 species